rnacentral:rRNA from 1 species
CCAAGGAGUGCAACAUGCGUGCGAGUCUUUGGGUGGCAAACCCGACGGCGCAAUGAAAGUGAAGGCAGGCGUUGGUCUGCUGAGGCGAGAGUCUUCUUGUGGGGACGCAUCGUCGACCGAUCCUAGGUCACGCUGUGGCGGGAUUUGAGUGAGAGCGUGCCUGUUGCGACCCGAAAGAUGGUGAACUAUGCCUGAAUAGGGUGAAGCCAGAGGAAACUCUGGUGGAAGCUCGUAGCGAUUCUGACGUGCAAAUCGAUCGUCAAAUUUGGGUAUAGGGGCGAAAGACUAAUCGAACCAUCUAGUAGCUGGUUCCCUCCGAAGUUUCCCUUAGGAUAGCUGGAGCCCGGUGCAGUUUUAUCAGGUAAAGCGAAUGAUUAGAGGUCUUGGGGUUGAAACAACCUCAACCUAUUCUCAAACUUUAAAUGGGUAAGAAGCUUGGCUUGCUUAACUGAAGUCAGGCAUCGAAUGCCGGGGCUCCUAGUGGGCCAUUUUUGGUAAGCAGAACUGGCGAUGUGGGAUGAACCAAAUGCUGGGUUAAGGUGCCCGAAUCGACGCUCAUCAGAUACCAUGAAAGGU